rnacentral:rRNA from 1 species
UGGGGAAUAUUGGACAAUGGGCGAAAGCCUGAUCCAGCCAUGCCGCGUGUGUGAAGAAGGUCUUCGGAUUGUAAAGCACUUUAAGUUGGGAGGAAGGGCAGUAAGCGAAUACCUUGCUGUUUUGACGUUACCGACAGAAUAAGCACCGGCUAACUCUGUGCCAGCAGCCGCGGUAAUACAGAGGGUGCAAGCGUUAAUCGGAAUUACUGGGCGUAAAGCGCGCGUAGGUGGUUCGUUAAGUUGAAUGGGAAAGCCCCGGGCUCAACCUGGGAACUGCAUCCAAAACUGGCGAGCUAGAGUAGGGCAGAGGGUGGUGGAAUUUCCUGUGUAGCGGUGAAAUGCGUAGAUAUAGGAAGGAACACCAGUGGCGAAGGCGACCACCUGGGCUCAUACUGACACUGAGGUGCGAAAGCGUGGGGAGCAAACAGG